rnacentral:ncRNA from 2 species
CAAUCCUAACCCCACGUUGGUUCCCCCAAGCGCAGGCGCGGGGGAUGAAAAGGGAACACGGUGCGGAUUACCCAUCAGGGGCCUAGACCGUGGCUGCCCCCGCAACUGUAAGCGGCCAGCUUUGCCAUUUGCCACUGGGCUUCGCCCGGGAAGGCGGCACAGCGACAAAGAGGCCGCGAGCCAGGAGACCUGCCAGCGCAACCGGGCGGAA